UACAGAGGGGGCAAGCGUUGUUCGGAAUUACUGGGCGUAAAGGGCGCGUAGGCGGCCUGCUAAGUCGAACGUGAAAUCCCUGGGCUCAACCCAGGAACUGCGUCCGAUACUGGUUGGCUUGAAUCCGGGAGAGGGAUGUGGAAUUCCAGGUGUAGCGGUGAAAUGCGUAGAUAUCCGGAGGAACACCGGUGGCGAAGGCGGCUUCCUGGACCGAUCACUGACGCUGAGGCGCGAAAGCUAGGGGAGCAAACGGG
rnacentral:rRNA from 1 species